UACAGAGGGGGCAAGCGUUAUUCGGAAUUAUUGGGCGUAAAGAGCGUGUAGGCGGCCAUGUAGGUCCGUUGUGAAAACUCGAGGCUCAACCUCGAGACGCCGAUGGAAACCAUGUGGCUAGAGUCCGGAAGAGGAGAGUGGAAUUCCUGGUGUAGCGGUGAAAUGCGCAGAUAUCAGGAAGAACACCCGUGGCUAAGGCGGCUCUCUAGUACGGUACUGACGCUGAGACGCGAAAGCGUGGGGAGCGAACAGG
rnacentral:rRNA from 1 species